AUGAGGCUGCCCAUCCCCGUCAUGGUCUCUGACGGAGUUAGUGAACAUAGAGCAUUAUCAAUUCAUAAAUUACUUGGUUACAUGGGGCGGAGCCAGGAUCGGACCACGCUCCUGCUCUGGGCCAAACACGACGAACACUAUAGAACAAUAGCAAAAGGCAUCGACAAAUGUUGGACGUCUUUAUUUGAAGCUUUUACGGUCAAAUAUGGCAGUGUAGUGAAUCAAUUCAAUGGAAAUCGCACAAGACUUGGCAGCUGGGCUUUGACAAGUGUUGGACCUCCCCUGACUUAUAACUACACCCAUCCAAAUGCAAUGUGCAAUAACCUUACUUGCAUAAACACAAGGUACAAGGGAUCUAAAGCUAGCCGGAGAGGAGAGGAGACCAGCGGCAAGAUGUACAACAACCCUCCGCCACCACAGGGCAUGUCCUACUACGAGCACGCGCAGAAGCGCCACCAGGAGAAGGGCUGCCUCUAUGCCUGUCUCGUUCCCGACCAUGCCCAUACCCAGAGCAUGCACGACACACCCAUCAUGGUCAUGGGCCUCACCGAUAGGUGGUGGAUUCAUUCUAGCCCGUCAAAACUGACCACCCAACUAGACUAG
rnacentral:rRNA from 1 species